UGCGUAGGCGGUUUAUUAAGUCAGUGGUGAAAUCAUGCAGCUCAACUGUAUAAGUGCCAUUGAUACUGUUAGACUUGAGUAUACUAUAGGCAGGCGGAAUUUAUGAUGUAGCGGUGAAAUGCAUAGAUAUCAUAAAGAACCCCGAUAGCGAAGGCAGCUUGCCGGAGUAUAACUGACGCUGAUGCACGAAAGCGUGGGUAGCGAACAGGAUUAGAUACCCUGGUAGUCC
rnacentral:rRNA from 1 species